rnacentral:rRNA from 1 species
UACGGGGGGGGCUAGCGUUAUUCGGAAUCAUUGGGCGUAAAGGGCGCGUAGGCGGCGCGGUAAGUCAAAGGUGAAAUCCCUCGGCUCAACUGAGGAACUGCCUUUGAAACUGCCGUGCUUGAGUCCGGGAGGGGGUAGCGGAAUUCCCAGUGUAGCGGUGAAAUGCGUAGAUAUUGGGAGGAACACCAGUGGCGAAGGCGGCUACCUGGACCGGUACUGACGCUGAUGCGCGAAAGCGUGGGGAGCAAACAGGAUUAGAAACC